UACGUAGGGUGCAAGCGUUGUCCGGAAUCACUGGGCGUAAAGGGUGCGUAGGCGGUUUGGUAAGUCUGAUGUGAAAUCUAUGGGCUCAACUCAUAGUCUGCAUCGGAAACUGCCGGGCUUGAGUGUGGGAGAGGUGAGUGGAAUUCCCGGUGUAGAGGUGAAAUUCGUAGAUAUCGGGAGGAACACCAGUGGCGAAGGCGGCGACCUGGGCCAAUAUUGACGCUGAGGUGCGAAAGCGUGGGGAGCAAACAGG
rnacentral:rRNA from 1 species